rnacentral:lncRNA from 1 species
CUUAACCACCACAAAUUAAAACAAUAUCUCAUUAGAAAUUCGAUAAGUUAAAGAAAAAAAAUUGGAAACCAUAUGAAAGCAUGAGAUUUUUUACCACAACUAGCACAUUCCCUGACAGAAGAGUGGAUAUAGAAUUUCAGAAGCGGAAUUAAAACUGAAGCAGCCUGUUUCAGGGUUUAAGACAUAAAUAUCACCUCUUAAGUUUGAAUCCACUUAACAACACAUGAAGAAAAGUAAAUGUACUAGUGAUCGUUCAUGCUAUCAUGCCAACCUGGGGAAUCCAUGGGUAAAAAUCUUCCCCCAAUUCAUGAGCAUAUAAUUCAAGGGCCGAGCACAACAUUGAUUUCCCUUCUAGGAGGUCAUUUUCGUAGUUCGUAUUUCGUAUCCUGUAUUUCAUAUUUCAUAUCUCUUAUAUAUUGCUGUUAUUUUUAUUACGCAUUUUUAUGGUACUAAUAUAUCAUCUCCCGUUGCUUUUUUGAGCCGAGGGUCUCCUGGAAACAGCCUCUCUACCCUUCGGGGUAGGGGUAAGGUCUGCGUACAUAUUACCCUCCCCAGACCCCACUUGUGGGAUUAUACUGGGUCGUUGUUGUUGUUGUUGAGGUCACUUCCAUAGAUGCAUAUCAUUUCACCCCCAAACAUGACUUUGUGCAUACUGCAAAAUGUGAAACUUAAGCAAGAUAUCCCUGGUAGCCCGAAUUAUUUUGAGAAUCACUCGUGUUGUUAUCUGUUGGGAGAUAUGGAAGUCUAUGUGUGCUAUUAAGUAUGGAUCCUCCACGCUAUCCAUUAAGCGUACGACUUAUCAGAUUUUGUUCUUCUUGAAUUGGGUGGUAUUCAAAUAUAAAGGGAAUAAUGAACGGCCUACAAGUUAGGAAGCUAUAUGCAGGUUGGUUAUUGAUCUUUCUCCCAGAACUGAAUCAUCACAGUUAAUGGGAAAGGCCACCUCCGAACUGGAUGAAAAUAAACACCGACGGCAGUAGAAAUAUGGAGGAAAUGAUUGGUGCAGGAGGAAUCUGUAGAGACCAUAAUGGCAAGAUGAUAAAUGAAAAAUCCAAACCUCAAUGAUAAAAACUUAC